UUCCGCGCCGUAGCUAACGCUUUAAGUACCCCGCCUGGGGAGUACGGCCGCAAGGCUAAAACUCAAAGGAAUUGACGGGGCCCCGCACAAGCGGCGGAGCAUGCGGAUUAAUUCGAUGCAACGCGUAGAACCUUACCUGGGUUUGACAUGGAUCGGGAGUGCUCAGAGAUGGGUGUGCCUCUUUUGGGGUCGGUUCACAGGUGGUGCAUGGCUGUCGUCAGCUCGUGUCGUGAGAUGUUGGGUUAAGUCCCGCAACGAGCGCAACCCUUGUUCACUGUUGCCAGCACGUUAUGGUGGGGACUCAGUGGAGACCGCCGGGGUCAACUCGGAGGAAGGUGGGGAUGACGUCAAGUCAUCAUGCCCCUUAUGUCCAGGGCUUCACGCAUGCUACAAUGGCUGGUACAGAGAGUGGCGAGCCUGUGAGGGUGAGCGAAUCUCGGAAAGCCGGUCUCAGUUCGGAUUGGGGUCUGCAACUCGACCUCAUGAAGUCGGAGUCGCUAGUAAUCGCAGAUCAGCAACGCUGCGGUGAAUACGUUCCCGGGGCUUGUACACACCGCCCGU
rnacentral:rRNA from 1 species